AUGGCACAAUCAAGCCAGAAAAAUUAAGUGUGAGGGAGGCUAUAGAACGGCCUAAUGGUAGAAGGAUCAUGCUCAAGUUCAACAACGAAAUGCAACCAAUUAAAGAUGAAGCUGGACUGUUGAGUGACGUUCUUGGUCUGGUAGGAGCUGACUAUGGAAAAUUUCCUAUUUAUGAGAAAAGUUGGCAUAAGAUUACCACUAAAGACAAGGUGUAUAAUGAAUGUGUAAAGCAAAUUUUCUACUUUGAUGAAGAUAGUAAAUGAACUAUCAACAAAAAUAUUUUGAAAAGUAUGGAAAAGUCCUAAAAGGAUACAAGGCUGAGAUUGUAUGAUGAUUAUUACAACCCAACAUCAACGACUGAACAAAAUAUUGAGAACCGCCUGCCAAGAAUUGAUCGAGAGCAUUGGAGAUGGUUCCUUGACUAUCGCAGUAAACUUGAGAUGCAGACCACAAUAGGAGAAGUGUAGGAAAAACACGAUGAAUCGAUCAAAACAACUAUAUACCCACACUGGCAGUUCGAAAAGCUUGGCAAGGCAGAGGGAAGAAGAGGUACUUUACUUUUUUAUUCACUCUUUGGACUAUCUAUGUGUCUACAUUCUCCUUAAUUAUGUGGAAUACGGUAAUGGCAUAAACUUUGUUGUUACAGUCGGAACAAUAAGGGAGGAGAGUCGGUAGAGGAGAGUUAUGGAUCACAGUGCACCAAAAAAAAGAUUCCUAUAUCAAUGAUGAAGCAAGAGCAAUUGGUAUUUUUGUCUGUAGGAAAGACUUGAGGAGAUUGAGCAACAGGACGAGUUUCUAGAGUGUUGUCUCAAAAUGAUUCUUUUGCUCAAAUUCUCGGAAAAGAGAAACUAGGUAGAGUGCGUGGUGUGGGUUUCAGACCGACUCUUAGACAACUCUUCUGUUUGAAUUCGCAUCCGUCAGGCAACGGAGUUCAAGUAGAGGAGACCCAGAGGAAGUUGCUUGAACUAUAGGCAGAGUUGGAAGCUGAGAAAUUGAAAAGGAAUGCGAUGGAGGAUGAAGUAGCAGCAGAGAAGAAAAAGUGGCAGGCGAUAGAGAGUGCUCCGAGAUAUCUAUUUCAACGGCAGGGUGAGGAGCUGCCACCAGAUAUUGUCAAAAAUAGUAUAUUAGGAUUGAAAUUAUUUUGGUUU